AGAGUUUGAUUAUGGCUCAGGAUGAACGCUAGCUACAGGCUUAACACAUGCAGGUCGAGGGGCAGCAUUGGAGUAGCAAUACUCAGAUGGCGACCGGCGCACGGGUGAGUAACACGUAUCCAACCUGCCGCUUACUCGGGGAUAGCCUUUCGAAAGAAAGAUUAAUACCCGAUGGUAUAAAGAGUUCGCAUGUUCUCUUUAUUAAAGAAUUUCGGUAAGCGAUGGGGAUGCGUUCCAUUAGAUAGUUGGCGGGGUAACGGCCCACCAAGUCUACGAUGGAUAGGGGUUCUGAGAGGAAGGUCCCCCACAUUGGAACUGAGACACGGUCCAAACUCCUACGGGAGGCAGCAGUGAGGAAUAUUGGUCAAUGGACGAGAGUCUGAACCAGCCAAAGUAGCGUGAAGGAUGACUGCCCUAUGGGUUGUAAACUUCUUUUAUAAGGGAAUAAAGUGAGGGACGUGUCCCUUUUUGUAUGUACCUUAUGAAUAAGGAUCGGCUAACUCCGUGCCAGCCGCCGC
rnacentral:rRNA from 1 species